rnacentral:rRNA from 1 species
AGUGAACGCUGGCGGUAGGCCUAACACAUGCAAGUCGAACGGCAGCACAGUAAGAGCUUGCUCUUACGGGUGGCGAGUGGCGGACGGGUGAGGAAUACAUCGGAAUCUACUUUUUCGUGGGGGAUAACGUAGGGAAACUUACGCUAAUACCGCAUACGACCUACGAGUGAAAGCAGGGGAUCUUCGGACCUUGCGCGAUUGAAUGAGCCGAUGUCGGAUUAGCUAGUUGGCGGGGUAAAGGCCCACCAAGGCGACGAUCCGUAGCUGGUCUGAGAGGAUGAUCAGCCACACUGGAACUGAGACACGGUCCAGACUCCUAUGGGAGGCAGCAGUGGGGAAUAUUGGACAAUGGGCGCAAGCCUGAUCCAGCCAUACCGCGUGGGUGAAGAAGGCCUUCGGGUUGUAAAGCCCUUUUGUUGGGAAAGAAAAGCAGCAGGUUAAUACCCCGCUGUUCUGACGGUACCCAAAGAAUAAGCACCGGCUAACUUCGUG